rnacentral:rRNA from 1 species
UACAGAGGGUGCGAGCGUUGUCCGGAAUCACUGGGCGUAAAGGGCGCGUAGGUGGCGCGACAAGUCAGUGGUGAAAGCUCGACGCUCAACGUCGAGUCGGCCACUGAUACUGUUGGGCUUGAGCACUGUAGAGGCUAAUGGAAUUCCGGGUGUAGCGGUGGAAAUGCGUAGAGAUCCGGAAGAACACCGGUGGCGAAGGCGGUUAGCUGGGCAGUUGCUGACACUGAGGCGCGACAGCGUGGGGGAGCAAACAGGG